CUGUUAGGUUGCUUGGGUAGAACUGUUAGAUUGCUGGUUAGAAUUGCGGUUAGGUUGCAUUGUUAGUAUUUGCUAGGUUAGUAGAUUAUUUGAUUAAUUGUCUACUAACUUGCAUGUUAAGUGUUCUUUUGAGUUGCAGUGAGUAAGUAUGUUUGUUGAUCGGAACUUUAAGGGAUGAAAACCUUAAAGUGGAGGGAGUUCGAGGCCAAACCCAAACCCGAAGCGAAAGAGUGGAGGCAGAUUCAGAGAACUGGACAGUGGUAUGGACUGGACAGAUGGGAGGAAACAAAACUUCGUUGGGAAAGGACUUCAUCAGUAGUUGGGAAAACAAAGAUCGAGAAAAUGGUUGGAGUAAUCAGGAACGAGCAUGGACAAGAUCGUAUCAGGGCAAUGAGUAUGUUAUGGCAGAGUAAAACAAAGAGGAUGACUCAGUGAUCAUUCAAGUGAAGAGAUAUGAAGACAAUUGUGGAGGCCUUGAAGAGGACACUCAAGGAACCGUGGUGGACAGAGUAAAGAGGUUAUGGAGACAAGUGGAGAAUCUUGGGAAGACGAGCAACGGCGCAACUAAGAAUUCGAGGACGAAUUCUAUUAAGGGGAGGAGAAUGUAGAAACCCGUUAAAAAAAAA